rnacentral:rRNA from 1 species
UACGGAGGAUGCGAGCGUUAUCCGGAUUUAUUGGGUUUAAAGGGUGCGUAGGCGGGCUGUUAAGUCAGCGGUCAAAUGUCGGGGCUCAACCCCGGCCUGCCGUUGAAACUGGCGGCCUCGAGUGGGCGAGAAGUAUGCGGAAUGCGUGGUGUAGCGGUGAAAUGCAUAGAUAUUGCGCAGAACUCCGAUUGCGAAGGCAGCCUACCGGCUUCUGUCUGACGCUGAGGCACGAAAGCGUGGGUAUCAAACAGG